GUUCUGGAUUUCGAUUGUUGUCCUUGAUGAGUACUUUUAUCACACUGCAGGAGGUGCCUGCAUAGGUUUCACAUUACUGUAGUCUAAGGAAUGGAAUAUGUAGGUAUGAUUCAAGGUUACAUCUAUAUUCGUUUGAUGGGUAUGUCAUUAUAAGCAUGGCCACAAUUAUGAAUGACAACACCGUGCAUGUUCAUGUACGUAAUCAAUAUGUCCACGUUAAUGGCCAC
rnacentral:lncRNA from 1 species